CAAGGAUUCCCCUAGUAACGGCGAGUGAAGCGGGAAGAGCUCAAAUUUGAAAUCUGGCGGUCUCACGGCCGUCCGAGUUGUAAUCUAGAGAGGUGUUUUCCGUGCCGGACCGUGUACAAGUCCCUUGGAACAGGGCGUCAUAGAGGGUGAGAAUCCCGUCCAUGACRCGGACUACCGGUGCUCUGUGAUACACCUUCAAAGAGUCGAGUUGUUUGGGAAUGCAGCUCAAAAUGGGUGGUAAAUUCCAUCUAAAGCUAAAUACAGGCGAGAGACCGAUAGCGAACAAGUACCGUGAGGGAAAGAUGAAAAGAACUUUGGAAAGAGAGUUAAACAGUACGUGAAAUUGUUGAAAGGGAAACGCUUGAAGUCAGUCGCGUCUGCCAGGACUCAGCCUUGCUUCUGCAUGGUGCAUUUCCUGGUGGAUGGGCCAGCAUCGAUUUUGGUCGCCGGACAAGGGCGGGAGGAAUGUGGCAGCUUGCUGUGUUAUAGCCUCCCGUCGUACACGGUGGUUGGGAUCGAGGACUGCAGCACGCCUUUGGUCGGGGUUCGCCCACGCCACGUGCUUAGGAUGCUGGCGUAAUGGCUUUAAACGACCCGUCUUGAAACACGGACCAAGGAGUCUAACAUGCCUGCGAGUGUUUGGGCGUUAAACCCAGGCGCGUAAUGAAAGUGAAAAGUUGGGACUCUUUAGUGAGGCACCGACGCCCGAUCCUGACGUUCUCUGACGGAUUUGAGGUAGAGCAUGUAUGUUGGGACCCGAAAGAUGGUGAACUAUGCCUGAAUAGGGUGAAGCCAGAGGAAACUCUGGUGGAGGCUCGUAGCGAUUCUGACGUGCAAAUCGAUCGUCAAAUUUGGGUAUAGGGGCGAAAGACUAA
rnacentral:rRNA from 1 species